rnacentral:rRNA from 1 species
CCCUUAGAUGUCCUGGGCCGCACGCGCGCUACACUGACAUGUUCAACAAGCCUCCUAGUUCGACAGGAUUUGGGAAAUCUUUGAACGCAUGUCGUGAUAGGGAUAGAUCAUUGCAAUUAUUGAUCUUGAACGAGGAAUUCCUAGUAAACGCGAGUCAUCAGCUCGCAUUGAUUACGUCCCUGCCCUUUGUACACACCGCCCGUCGCACCUACCGAUUGAAUGGAGAGGCAAAAUCUUCGGACCGUGACGCUUGGGAGUCAAAUCUCGGGCUGUCGUGGGAAGUGGAUUAAACCUUUCUAUUUAGAGGAAGGUAAAGUCGUAACA